UAAGCGGAGGAAAAGAAACUAACAAGGAUUCCCCUAGUAACGGCGAGUGAAGCGGGAAGAGCUCAAAUUUGAAAUCUGGCACUUUCAGUGUCCGAGUUGUAAUCUCGAGAAGUGUUUUCCGCGCUGGACCGCAUAUAAGUCUGUUGGAAUACAGCGUCAUAGUGGUGAGAACCCCGUAAAUGAUGCGGACGCCCAGUGCUUUGUGAUACACUUUCGAAGAGUCGAGUUGUUUGGGAAUGCAGCUCAAAUUGGGUGGUAAAUUCCAUCUAAAGCUAAAUAUUGGCGAGAGACCGAUAGCGAACAAGUACCGUGAGGGAAAGAUGAAAAGCACUUUGGAAAGAGAGUUAACAGUACGUGAAAUUGUUGGAAGGGAAACGCUUGAAGUCAGACUUGCUGUUUGGAAUUCAGCCGCAAGGUGUACUUUUCAGAUAUGCAGGCCAGCAUCAGUUUUUGGGGGUGAAAAAGGGUAUUGAGAAGGUAGCAGUUUCGGCUGUGUUAUAGCUCUUUACUGGAUUCAUCCUUGGGGACUGAGGAACGCAGCUCACUUUUUGCACGACCCUCGGGUUGUUCUGAGCUUAGGAUGCUGG
rnacentral:rRNA from 1 species